GUGUUAAGCAAUGUGAUCAAUGUCCACAUUAGCAUAAAAAGAGGGUUCAGGAUUCAAACUCAGGUCUGUCUGUCCCCAAAGCCCCUAUGUGCCAUUGCUUUCAGUAGACCCCGGGAGGCCUGUUCUCAGCUCAGAUGUGUCUUGCACGGAUAUAGAUAUAAGGACAAGGAAGUUAAUUCUGAUGUCUUUCAUUCCAAUAAGUGGGCCCUGGAAGAGGUGGAUGGAGUGUCAGGCCCUGGGCUGGUUGCACUGUACACUCUUCACCAUGACUGUCUCUGCAGCUCCACAUUCAGGAAGACGCUCAGGUGGAGCAGGUUCAACUUGGUAUUGGAAGCUCUUUUCCUAAAUGGCCACAUUGAUUUCUGCCCCAUGUUAAACGUUGCCCAGCUGUCCAGGAACACCGAGCCAAAGGAUUGCCUACUUGGGGACCCAUCCUGGAAAAGACCUCAAAAUAGAUCUUCUCAAGUUACCCGAAGGCAGACAUAAUAGCAUAAAACCUUCUCAACUGAGUCCUUGCUAGGGCUCCAGGCAGGGCAGAGGACUAGAUUGUCUUCUCUCUGCACUCCUGCCUGUAGCUGGGCCCUCAGCCAGAUGGACACUGGGAGGAGGUGAACAGGACAAUGGUGAGUCUCCAUGUUGGCUGGACAGUCAUUCAACAAUGCAUUGAAAUUCAGUCAUUAAGCCAUAGGUGGCAGGAAGUGAGAUAGACAUCAGGGACAUGAAGACAAAAAAUUAAAAUACCCUGGAAGAAUUUGUUCUUAGAGACUGGAACAUAAACAUGAUCACAGGUUAAAAU
rnacentral:lncRNA from 12 species